AUUGAUAAAAAGAAACGCAAUCAAAAGAUCUUAUUGAAAUAGUUGAUAUGUGUAGAAUAAGGAAAAAAACCAAAAAAU
rnacentral:sRNA from 1 species